rnacentral:lncRNA from 1 species
UUGACAAUGGCGUUAUCGGACCUCGUUUGGGAAGAUAUGGUGGCUGAUUCAACAACAAGAGUUUGGUUCUUUCAGUAGUUACUGCUAGCUUCAUUCUAAACAAGAAGCCAAUAAAGAACGGCCUCCAAAGCCAAAGCUCAGAAGCAAGGAUUUGAUUAAAAGGGGCUUCCAUUCUUGUCAUGUUGAGCCCAGAUGCUUGGUAUUGGUUUAACUUCUUAAUUAAAAUGCCUGGUUAGGCAACGGCUAGAGCCGAAUCUUAGCGACCCAGAGCUAAAUGCCUUGUUCUUAUUCUUUUGAUAUUGAAAUUGUUGGAUUCGU